rnacentral:rRNA from 1 species
CCCCCCCCGGGGGGACCCUGCCAGAGAUAGCACCCCUUGUCUUUUCCGAGCACCCAACCGUUUCCUCGGCGGGCCCGCCCGCCAACGGGGACCAACCACAAACCUUAAACCGCAGUUAAGCAGUAAACCGUACAAAACCCAAAAAAUCAAAACUUUCAACAACGGAUCUCUUGGUUCUGGCAUCGAUGAAGAACGCAGCGAAAUGCGAUAAGUAGUGUGAAUUGCAGAAUUCAGUGAAUCAUCGAAUCUUUGAACGCACAUUGCGCCCUUUGGUAUUCCUUAGGGCAUGCCUGUUCGAGCGUCAUAUCAACCCUCAAGCACCGCUUGGUGUUGGGCGCUUGUCCCCGCCCCCGGCAGGGACUCGCCCCGAAUCCAUUGGCAGCCACCGCACCGGGCCAACGAGCGCAGCAGAAUUCGCGCCUCGGGCAAGGAGCGUGGGCGACCCACUGAGCAACCCAUCAUUUUGACCUCGGAUCAGGUAGGGAUACCCGCUGAACUUAAGCAUAUCAAUAAGCGGAGGAAAAGAAACCAACAGGGAUUGCCCCAGUAACGGCGAGUGAAGCGGCAACAGCUCAAAUUUGAAAUCUGGCUCCCUCGGGGCCCGAGUUGUAAUUUGCAGAGGGUGCUUCGGCGUUGGCGCCGGCCUAAGUUCCUUGGAACAGGACGUCAUAGAGGGUGAGAACCCCGUACGUGGCAGGCCGCCUCCGCCGUGUGAAGCCCCUUCGACGAGUCGAGUUGUUUGGGAAUGCAGCUCUAAAUGGGAGGUAAAUUCCUUCUAAAGCUAAAUACUGGCCAGAGACCGAUAGCGCACAAGUAGAGUGAUCGAAAGAUGAAAAGCACUUUGGAAAGAGAGUCAAAAAGCACGUGAAAUUGUUGAAAGGGAAGCGCUUGCAGCCAGACUUGCCUGUAGUUGCUCAUCCGGGCCCCGGCCCGGUGCACUCUUCUGCGGGCAGGCCAGCAUCAGUCAGGGCGGCCGGAUAAAGGCCCCGGGAACGUAGCUCCCUCCGGGG